rnacentral:rRNA from 1 species
CUCGAUGUUCGGGGCCGCACGCGCGCCACACUGAAGGAAUCAGCGUGUGCUCUCCCGGUCCGGCAGGACUGGGUAACCCGUUGAACCUCCUUCGUGAUAGGGAUAGGGGCUUGUAAUUGUUGCCCUUGAACGAGGAAUUCCCAGUAAGCACGAGUCAUCAACUCGUGUUGAUUACGUCCCUGCCUCUUGUCCACACCGCCCGUCGCUAAUACCGAUUGAAUGAUUUAGUGAGGUCCUCGGACUGGCUCUCGGAGCGGCCUCGGGCCGGGCCGACGUGCCGGAAAGAUGACCGAACUUGAUCAUUUAGAGGAAUUAAAAGUCGUAACAAGGUUUCC